rnacentral:rRNA from 1 species
UCCGUAGGGACCAAGCGUUGUUCGGAUUUACUGGGCGUAAAGGGCGCGUAGGCGGCAUGACAAGUCACUUGUGAAAUCUCCGGGCUUAACUCGGAACGGUCAAGUGAUACUGUCGCGCUAGAGUGCGGAAGGGGCAAUCAGAAUUCUUGGUGUAGCGGUGAAAUGCGUAGAUAUCAAGAGGAAUACCUGAGGUGAAGACGGGUUGCUAGGCCGACACUGACGCUGAAGCGCGAAAGCCAGGGGAGCAAACGGG